rnacentral:rRNA from 1 species
CCUACGGGAGGCUGCAGUGAGGAAUAUUGGUCAAUGGGCGGGAGCCUGAACCAGCCAAGUCGCGUGAAGGAAGAAGGUACUUAGUAUUGUAAACUUCUUUUGUCGGGGAACAAAGGCGGAGACGCGUCUCCGGAUGAGUGUACCCGAAGAAAAAGCAUCGGCUAACUCGGGGCCAGCAGCCGCGGUAAUCCGGAGGAUGCGAGCGUUAUCCGGAUUUAUUGGGUUAAAGGGGUGCGCAGGCGGGAGAUCAAGUCAGCGGGAAAAUGUCGGGGCUCAACCCCGGCCGGCCGGUGAAACUGGGUAUCUAGAGUUGGAGAGAAGUAUGCGGAAUUCGUGGUGUAGCGGUGAAAUGCAUAGAUAUCACGAAGAACUCCGAUGGCGAAGGCAGCAUACCGGCUCCAUACUGACGCUGAGGCACGAAAGCGUGGGGAUCGAACAGGAUUAGAUACCCUUGUAGUC